rnacentral:tRNA from 1 species
GCGCCCAUAGCUCAACUGGAUAGAGCAUCAGCCUUCGGAGCUGAGUGUUGGGGGUUCGACUCCCUCUGGGCGCG